rnacentral:rRNA from 1 species
GACGAACGCUGGCGGCGUGCUUAACACAUGCAAGUCGAACGAUGAAGACGAUAUACGCGAACUUCGGUUUAACUUUCACUUCGGUUAAGUGGCAGACGGCUGCGUAACGCUUUAGCAACCUUCCUCUUACAAAGGGAUAGCCUCGGGUAACCGUGAUUACUACCAUAUGACACAUUCAUAAUGCCUCUGAAGAAUGUUAAGGCUACGGCGGAUAGAGAUGUGCUUGCGUCCCAUUAGCUCGUUGGUGUGGUAACGGCACACCAAGGCGACGAUGGGUAACCGGACAGAGAGGGGGAACGGUGACACUGGAACAGAGACACGGUUCAAACUCGUACGGGAGGCGGGAGAGGGGGAAAAAGCAGAGGGGAGGGAAUGCUGAAGCAGCGAGGGCGGGUGAGCGAUGAUGGAAUUCGUAACGGAAAGCUCUGUUGAAUGGGAAGAAAAGGACUGUACCAUAUGAGAAAGCCCCGGCUAAAUACGUG